UACGUAGGGUGCGAGCGUUGUCCGGAAUUAUUGGGCGUAAAGAGCUCGUAGGCGGUUUGUUGUCGUCGGCUGUGAAAUCCCGAGGCUCAACCUCGGGUCUGCAGUCGAUACGAGCAAACUAGAGUGUUGCAGGGGAGACUGGAAUUCCUGGUGUAGCGGUGAAAUGCGCAGAUAUCAGGAGGAACACCGGUGGCGAAGGCGGGUCUCUGGGCAACAACUGACGCUGAGGAGCGAAAGCGUGGGGAGCGAACAGG
rnacentral:rRNA from 1 species